rnacentral:rRNA from 1 species
UGAAAAAUCGGCGGAUGAACUGUGGUUAGGGGUGAAAUACCAAUCGAACUUGGAGCUAGCUGGUUCUCUCCGAAAUGCGUUGAGGCGCAGCGAUUAAUAACGGGCUGUCAGGGGUAAAGCACUGUUUCGGUGCGGGUUGCGAGAGCGAUACCAAAUCGUAGCAAACUAAGAAUACUGUACAAGCUUUCUAUUAAUCAGUGAGACUACGGGGGAUAAGCUCCGUUGUCGAAAGGGAAACAGCCCAGACCAUCAGCUAAGGCCCCUAAAUGAUUACUAAGUGAUAAAGGAGGUAGAGAUGCGUAAACAACCAGAAGGUUUGCCUAGAAGCAGCCAUCCUUGAAAGAGUGCGUAACAGCUCACUGGUCUAGCGUCUCCGCGCCGAAAAUGCACGGGACUAAGUAAUCUGCCGAAGCUAUGGGAUUCUUUAGAUUAAAGAAUCGGUAGGAGAGCGUUCUGUUUUAGGGCGAAGUUAAAACGUGAGUUUUAGUGGACGAAACAGAAGUGAGAAUGUCGGCUUGAGUAACGAAAACACUGGUGAGAAUCCAGUGCCCCGAAAACCUAAGGGUUCCCCCACAAGGCUCGUCCGGGGGGGGUGAGUCAGGACCUAAGAUGAGGCCGAAAGGCGUAAUCGAUGGAAAGCAGGUCAAUAUUCCUGCACUACAUAAAAAUUGGCACCAGGGGACAGAGUAAAAUCAAAGAUUAGACAAUAGGGUUGUUCUAAUUAAGUUAAGUUGAAUUGGUGGACGAAAAAAUACCAGUAAUUUAAAUAACUUUUAAAUUUUGACUAUAUUCUCUAGAAAAGCCUGUACUGCUUUGGCGAAAGCGCCAGAAAUCUUUAUGUACCUGUACCCAGAACCGACACAGGUGGGUAAGUAGAGAAUACUAAGGGGUGCGAGAUAACUCUCUCUAAGGAACUCGGCAAAAUGGCCCCGUAACUUCGGGAGAAGGGGUACCUACGAGAGUAGGUCGCAGUGACCAGGCCCAAGCGACUGUUUAUCAAAAACACAGGUCUCCGCAAAGUCGUAAGACAACGUAUGGGGGCUGACGCCUGCCCAGUGCCGGAAGGUUAAAGAAGUUGGUUAACUUCGGUGAAGCUAACGACUGAAGCCCCGGUGAACGGCGGCCGUAACUAUAACGGUCCUAAGGUAGCGAAAUUCCUUGUCGGGUAAGUUCCGACCCGCACGAAAGGCGUAACGAUUUGGGCACUGUCUCGGAGAGAGACUCGGUGAAAUAGACUUGUCCGUGAAGAUGCGGACUACCUGCACCUGGACAGAAAGACCCUAUGAAGCUUUACUAUAACUUGAGGCUGGGUUUGGACUUAUUUUGCGCAGUAUAGGUGGGAGGCUUUGAUAAAAAGGUUUCGGUCUUUUUUGAGCCAUCAAUGAGAUACCACUCUUGAUAAGUUAAAAUCCUAAAAGUAACCCCUGAAGCGGGGUACUUGAUAACCUCAGGUGGGUAGUUUGACUGGGGCGGUCGCCUCCUAAAGAGUAACGGAGG